rnacentral:rRNA from 1 species
GCAUGGUGCGGGGGUAAAAACUCCGGUGGUAUGAGAUGGACCCGCGUCUGAUUAGCUAGUUGGUAAGGUAACGGCCUACCAAGGCGACGAUCAGUAGCCGACCUGAGAGGGUGACCGGCCACAUUGGGACUGAGACACGGCCCAAACUCCUACGGGGGGCAGCAGUGGGGAAUAUUGCACAAUGGGGGAAACCCUGAUGCAGCGACGCCGCGUGAGCGAAGAAGUAUUUCGGUAUGUAAAGCUCUAUCAGCAGGGAAGAAAAUGACGGUACCUGACUAAGAAGCACCGGCUAAAUACGUGCCAGCAGCCGCGGUAAUACGUAUGGUGCAAGCGUUAUCCGGAUUUACUGGGUGUAAAGGGAGCGUAGACGGAUGGGCAAGUCUGAUGUGAAAACCCGGGGCUCAACCCCGGGACUGCAUUGGAAACUGUUCAUCUAGAGUGCUGGAGAGGUAAGUGGAAUUCCUAGUGUAGCGGUGAAAUGCGUAGAUAUUAGGAGGAACACCAGUGGCGAAGGCGGCUUACUGGACAGUAACUGACGUUGAGGCUCGAAAGCGUGGGGAGCAAACAGGAUUAGAUACCCUGGUAGUCCACGCCGUAAACGAUGACUACUAGGUGUCGGGUGGCAAAGCCAUUCGGUGCCG